AGACUCGACUUCUUUGUUCUAGAAUGUGCGAUGGCUUGGAGAGGCAGAAAGAACAUCAAGGAACCUCUAUUGAAAAAGGGGAAGAACUGUGGAAUCAGGAUCCGACGGCUUGAUCGCAAAAUCGGGCUGGAGAAGAUAGAAGCGGAAGCUGUUGGAUAAUCGGCAGAAUCUAUCGACGAAUAAAAAAGGUCGAGAAAGUGCAUAUUGAAAUCAUGCGGGACGGAGGAUCCGCGGGAGAAUCGGAAGAAAUAUCGCAUUACAUGUAGCAGGGAUCUUCAUCCGUGCUCACGCGAGCACCAAUUUGCAGAACACCCCGUCCUAGUGACAUCAAGUUCCUCCAUGAAAAGGAGCCACGCCAUUAGCGGACCACAUGCAAGAAUCGCACCCUGGGAAGAAAGUGCUGUAAGCAAAGCUUUGCGAGCAGCAGAAUCGAGCACAAACAAACUAGUUUUCGAACCUGCUGUAGGAACAACCUUUAACAGCUGUGAGGAGGCUAAGGAUUACUACAACCUAUACUCAUGGGAGAUCGGAUUCGGCAUUCGGUACGGAAGAAGCAGGACAAAUUCUAACAACUACAGGAUGAGACAAGACCUGGUGUGCUCAU